AUCAGAAAGGAGACAUUCAGUAUGGCUUACUUUUCUAUUGAAAAAUAUAUGAAAAUUAUCAUUCCUCUUGGAAAGAAUUGUAUUCUAAUCUAGACUAGCCACAAGGUUGGUGAGAAUGAAUCUUUCCUUAAGUGUCUAUUCAUUUGUGAAUGCUGUGGUGAAAUUGAGUCUAAAGGCAAAGAUGAAAAUUACAUGCUGAAAUUGUGCGAUCCCACAUAGGAGCUACAACCAGGUGCCGAUUAUUAUCUGUCACUUUUGUCUCGCGAAAUUUUGAGAUACUGGGACACGAUAUUCAUCUUGGGCAAUCUAUGCGUUUUGAACCACUCUUUACAAAAUCUUCAUUCUGCCUUUGCUACUAACAACUUCAUCAAACCACUGGAAGAGGAACUACCUGAGUGAAAAAGGUCACAUCAUUCUUCUUCAGCAUUUGUAUUAGUCUGUUCCUAUGCUGCGAAUAAAGACAUACCCGAGACUGGGUAGUUUAUAAAGAAAAAGAGGUUUAAUGGACUCACAGUUCCACGUGACUGGGGAGACCUCAUAAUCAUGGGGAAGGCAAAGGAGGAUCAAAGGCACGUCUUACAUGGCAGCAGGUAAAAGAGCGUGUGCAAGGGAACUCCCAUUUCUAAAACCAUCAGAUCUCAUGAGAUUUAUUCACUAACACGAGAACAGGGUGGGGAACCACUCCCAUGAUUCAAUUAACUCCACCAUAUCAGCAUUAAACUGGACAUGAGAAUAUUGUUGAAGGGUAAUAGAUUUGUAAAAUAGUUUAAAAUGCCUUAAGCAAUAAAUAUUCACCAUAAAAAAACUUAUUUAUGUGUUUUUUAUCCCAAUUUGAUUUUUCUAACACUCUUAUUUUUAAAAGUGACUCUCUUAUGAAGUCCCUGUUUUUCUAUUAAAAUGCAUGUAGAAGGAUUAGCGGAUUUUAUAACUACUUACAAGAAAAAUGUCAGGUAAUGCAAAAUAAUAGCAUGUGAUUAAAUAAAUAGAAAAUAGAUCUGAGGACCACUACCUGAAACUAGCAUCACCU
rnacentral:lncRNA from 10 species